UACGUAGGGUGCAAGCGUUAUCCGGAAUUAUUGGGCGUAAAGAGCUCGUAGGCGGUUUGUCGCGUCUGCUGUGAAAACCGGAGGCCCAACCUCCGGCCUGCAGUGGGUACGGGCAAACUAGAGUGCGGUAGGGGAGAUUGGAAUUCCUGGUGUAGCGGUGGAAUGCGCAGAUAUCAGGAGGAACACCGGUGGCGAAGGCGGUUCUCUGGGCCUUACCUGACGCUGAGGAGCGAAAGCGUGGGGAGCAAACAGG
rnacentral:rRNA from 1 species